GAUGAACGCUGGCGGCGUGCCUAAUACAUGCAAGUCGAGCGAACAGACGAGGAGCUUGCUCCUCUGACGUUAGCGGCGGACGGGUGAGUAACACGUGGAUAACCUACCUAUAAGACUGGGAUAACUUCGGGAAACCGGAGCUAAUACCGGAUAAUAUAUUGAACCGCAUGGUUCAAUAGUGAAAGACGGUUUUGCUGUCACUUAUAGAUGGAUCCGCCGCAUUAGCUAGUUGGUAAGGUAACGGCUUACCAAGGCAACGAUGCGUAGCCGACCUAAGAGGGUGAUCGGCCACACUGGAACUGAGACACGGUCCAGACUCCUACGGGAGGCAGCAGUAGGGAAUCUUCCGCAAUGGGCGAAAGCCUGACGGAGCAACGCCGCGUGAGUGAUGAAGGUCUUCGGAUCGUAAAACUCUGUUAUUAGGGAAGAACAAAUGUGUAAGUAACUAUGCACGUCUUGACGGUACCUAAUCAGAAAGCCACGGCUAACUACGUG
rnacentral:rRNA from 1 species